AAGAGAAAAAGAAGAAAAAAAAGAAAGAAGAAGAUUAGAAAGAAAGAAAAGAAAGAGAAACUGGUUCUUAUUAAUCGGUUUUCUCAUUAAAAACGAUCAACUUUGUUAUUGUUUUUCUUUUUUUUAUUAAUAUGUUUUCCCUUAGAAUUUUUUUUUCGAUCCGAUUUACUCAUCGGAUUAUCUUUUUCUCUAACCUUUGGAUUAGUCUCGUUUUCUUUGUUUUAAAACAGUCGAUUUAACAAUUUUCUUCUUUUCUUUUCUUCUAAAUUGUGAUCGUCAACUGAGUAACAAUUAACUAUGAAACAGCUUCGGAAACUCACCAAACAACCCAACCAAUCUAAUUCAAGUGAACAAUUUAUUAACUGUGUCACCGGGUUUCAAGUUAAACCGGGAGCGAUUUAACUAUCCCACUCAAGUCUUAAUUUCUUUAUCCCUCCAUUUUUACCUUUCUCUCUCUCUAAUUAUUUCUCUUUCUUCUCUUUCUCUUAGGUUAGUCUCUUUUUUUUAAAUGUCAUUUACUUGUAAUUAUCGCUUGUAAUUAAUGAUCGAAAAUUUCGCCUCUUUUUUGUGCUCAACGUUCUCAACUCUUUGCUGGUCUUUGUCUAUAGAUUUUUUUCUUAGGCCUUAUUAUUUGGGGUCUUUUCAAUUGUUCUAUUGGUCAUUUUACUUGUCAACUCUUUUGUAUUUUUCUUUUUUCUUUCUUUUUCUCAUUUGAGUCUCUCUCUCACCUUCUCUCUCUCCCUUGUUACCUUUCAUUCUUUAAUGUUCAUAAUUCAUCAUAUUAACCUUCAUCUUAAUAUUCGCCAUCAUUUGAUCUCAUUUUCCACUAACCCUGAUUAUCCUCUUUUCUUUUGCUGGCUUAUUACUCUCAGUCUCUUCAGCUGGUUCUUCUUCUUUUAUCAUCAUUAGUAUUAUCAUCAUCAUCAUCAUUUGAUCAAAGUAAUAACCAUGAAACCCAAUCAACAUGAACUUUUCCCUCUUCUUCACGAGUGUCCUAUUAAUUUCUCACACACAAAAUCAGAAGAAAAUCUUCUAAGAAAAUGGAAAAAUAGUUAAACAAAUGGAAUAUUUCCUUUAAACAAUCUUACCUUGGAGUUUAAUUAUCUUCGGAUAAGAUGCCCAUCGAUAAUCAGGAUUAAUCAGUCAUAACAUUUACUUUAUCUUGAGGAGUUGGUUGAAUAAAAAGAGCCAAUCUAAUGUCUUGAACCACUCGAUGGAUACAAUGGACACACCGGGAUUACUGAUAACCUGAUGAUUCUUGAUCAGUGUAACAAAAGGAUAAUCAAGUUACCGUCAAGAAAAUUAAAAGUUAAUCUAAUUAACUGUGAUUUUUCAAUGGUAACAAUGAGAAGACACUGAGGGAAAAAAGAAAGUUUUUGCAAACAAUUUAAAAUGAAAUUUCCUUUGUUCUCAAAGUAAAACAAAAUCAAGCCAAUCAAAAUCACCAACUUCUUACCUGAUGGUGUCAAUUGUUCAGGCUUUUGGCUGAAUCGAGAGAGAGAAAAAGUGAAACAAUCAACGAGACAUGAACAUUACACAAUUAAAUUGGAUCCGAUGUUAACCAACCGUGAUUAUAUUGUUGGGAAAAGAUUUUAACAUUAAAUCAAUGAUUCAUUCACCUUCCAAUUCUGGUUACUUUCUGGUUUCCUCCUCAGAUAUCAACUUCUCUUUCUUCAAUCAAAUCUAAUUAAUAUAUCGGAUUACCAUUCACUUUUCACACAAUCAAAACCAAGACAAGUUACUGGAUCACAAAAAAAAGAGGGAAAACUGAAAAUAUAAAUACAAACAGAAAAGACAACAAUUAACUCACCUCAGUUGGAAUCAAACUUGUAACAAUCAACGAAUCAAUAUAAUCACAGAGGAAAAUUGGAUCUAAACACAAAUCACCAUAUAAAUUAAACGCUUAUUAUCAUUUCAAGUAAUUAAAUUGAUCUCUCAAAGGAUAAUAUUUGCACAGGUGAUUAACAGUUAUGAAUACAACAAUUAAUGAGCAGAAAAUGUAAUUACUAUCAUAAAAUGAUUAACCUUGUAAUGUAUUAUUAGUACCAAUCAAAUUGAAUUGUAAAUAAUUCAAAAAGCCCUACGAAAAAGAGACACAAUCAACUAAUCUUUAUGAUAUAUAUGAAUUUAUAUUUGAUAUUUAUAUUAUCAAUUUGAUUGUGUCAAUGUCAUUGAAGUGAAAUUAUAAAUUGUUUUAAUCAACGAAAGUUGAAAGAAAUUAAGCUAAAGUGAAUUACAGUUAAUCACUUUUCAACGAAUCAAAAUGAGACAAAAAAAAGUGACAAUUAAACAAUUUUCUAAUCAAGGGUAACAAUUAUAAUCAAAAGUCAAUCAAGAUGGAGGGUAAAUUGUUAUUAAAAGAGAAAAAUAAAUUAACUUUGAUUGUUAA